GAUUUAUUGUGAUGUUCUUGUAAUUAGAUGAACCACAAUCAGAAAAUAAUAUUAUUCUAUCAGUUAUAUUAGUUGUCAUCGGUGCUAUUAUCUUGGGGAUCGCAGCUUAUUUCAUUCACCAAAGAAUAAACAAAGAUUCAAGGAGAUCAGGAGUUAGAACUAAAGAUGGCGUACAAGAAAGUUUGAUCGAUGAAAACAAGCGUGAAUUAUCAGAGACAGAAGCGCAAAGUAAGUUUAAAAGUAUGUUUGUUUAUUUUCACAACUUUUGAGUCUGAGUGUUGAUAUCUGUGCAGGUCUGGUAGAUAUGCGGCAUAUAUAUAUAUAAAUUAAAUCAACACUUAAAUAGAACUUUAUCAACAGCAUACAGUUUAUUAAAAGGUCUUAUCCAGUAACGCACAUUUACCAAGCAAGGGCAGCAGUCUGUGUCAUGCAUUAACCACAAACUGGGUCUCAUUUCAUUUUGUUCUUUUAUUUUAGAAUUUUUAAAGAUGAUUUUACCCAGACCCUCAAAAACAAUGAUGCAGAGAACAAUGAAGUACAGGACAUAAAUGAAGAUGCACAUAAGUCUGAGAAAUGAAGAAGACAAGACGGAUGAUAUUGAAUUUGGUAAAUGCAAAGUUCUAAGCAACAACAUGUAGUUUGGAGUUUUAAAAUAUCUCUAUGGUUGAUAAGUCUGGAACUUUAAACGAAAUAUCCAUGACAUCCACAAGGGCUCUAAAACAAAAACAAACAAAAAAAGUUAUCUAAUACCAACCAGGUGUGAAAAUGUAUUUGCCCCUCUAUUUACUAAUUCCUAAAUCUAUGAAACUGCAUUAAUAAUGGGGCUCAGCUGGACUAGACACAACCAGGCCUGAUUACUACCAGUGCUAUAAUUAACACUUAAAAUAGAACAUUUUUAACGGCAUGAAGUUGGUUAAAGGGUCUUACCCAGUAACACACUAUGCCAAAGGUGAAAGAAAUGACGAGGAGGGGAGUGAUUGUAGUUACUUAUUAAAAACUGCUUAAAAAUUAGUGUUUUCAGUGUGGGUGAGUGUACAUUAUGUUGUAGAGGAAAAUGUCCAAGUAUCGUCAAUUUAUAUUUACCACAGACCUUGUUUUACUAAUAAAUUGACACUUUAUUGAAAGCGUCCCCCACCUCCAUCCAAAAAAAAAAAAAAAAGUCACGGAAAUCUAGGAAAUCCAUGGCUAUUUAGUCUACCAGGUUUUGACAGCAUGGCAGCAACGCUCUAUUAAGUGGUCCCUUUUUGCUGCAGUGCAUUUAAAACAACUUUAUAGAUGGUUUCUUGACUUGGACCUAUAAGCAACAGUACAGCAAUGAUAUAGCAACCACAAAGCAAUAUGCGAAUGUUUAUUUUUCUGAAAAUGCCAAAAUAUAGUUGACAUUACUUCUGUAUUUAGUUUAAAAAUUCAACAAAUUUCACAUAUUUUAAGCUUAUAUCAACCCACAAAAUGUAUUCAAAUUAUUACUUUUUCCAGCGAAUGAUUCUGAGCAGAGAAUCAGAGACAGUGAAGACGGUGAGAACAAAGAGCAAGAAAUGACUUAUGCUGAAAAUAUGAGCAAGGAAAUGGAAGUAGAUGAAACUUCUAAAGCUCUCAAUGACAAACCUGAUCCAUCUGAUCAGAGAAGUUAAUCAGGUAAGCAUGUUUUAGACAGUCUGACUGGACGCCACAAUCGAACUGCAUACCAAGAACUUGUUCAGCUUACAUCAAUACAUGAUCGCAGUAGCACACUCUCACCAUUUCCACAGUAUAGCACAAGUUAAUUGCACUUGAAAGUUUUUUUUUUCCUCCAUAAAAUGUAUACAUUUAGUUUUGAUGAAAUUAAACUCAAAAAAUGCAAACAUUUAUAGAUGUCAUUUUUAACAGUAGAACGGAGUGAGAAACAUAGUAAAGCACAUUGACAUUUCUAUGUUGAAAAACUGCCAUUCCACGAUACUGAAAUAUAUUUUCCCUCUUUAGUAUCUACUGUACUUUACUGUAACAAAUUUGUGAAACUCAUCAGAAAGAACUGUAGCUAUUGUUUUGUAAACAAACCAUUUGUGUUCUAGGCAAAGAUCUUCACAAUUGUGAAGAUGAUGAGCAGGAAAUUAGUGAAGCCCAAGACCUCACUGGACCAGCACAAGACAAUGCUAGCAACAAGUAGCACAUUAAAUGAGAAGCACUGAGCAGCAGGGACACCGAAAUAGGGAUGUAACGAUUCAGAGAGUUGAAAAUCGAUACAAAUAUGUGACGAUUCAAAUCGGUUGAGAUGUUAAACGAAUUGCGAUUCAGUUGGGAGUAAGAGUUUAUAUGAAUGGAUCUCUGAGGGGAACUGACGGUCUUUAGAAAAGUUUAGAUGGUAUUUUCUUUUCAUCUGGUCUCUGUAUGUUGCAUAGUAGUAUUUAUAAGCCGCUGCUUUGUUUACAGUGGUAACUAAAGAAACGCUGUAUAGCUGCUGUUCCAUAAGCGCCACCUG